CCUCUACCGUCCCGCUGAACACCGACCCAAACUGCCGCUUCCCCGAGGGCCAAAGCUCAGCUUUGGUUCACCUCCCCGGGGGGUGUUUGGAACUAUCUUCCUUGCGGUUAAUAGCUUUCUUUUUGCCUUAGACCACAAAAGGUAUAAGAGAGACUGUUUUACGAGACUGUCCCCUGCUAGCGAUACCAGAAUAAAAAUAUCCGGAGCCGUGUCUUGCUGGAAUUCAGUCCGAAAAAGCACUGUAGCUCCCCACAAAAUG
rnacentral:lncRNA from 1 species